rnacentral:rRNA from 1 species
GACGAACGCUGGCUGCGGGCUUAACACAUGCAAGUCGAACGGAAACGUCCUGUUUUCUUGCUGUGCUCGAUUGGCAAACGGGCGAGUAACACUUAAGCAUCCUCCCCUUGACGUUGAGAUAACUUCAGGAAACUGGGGCUAAUAUCGGAUAGGAGCUGCUGCUGCCUUGUGGGGGGUGGAACUUUUCGGCGGUUGGGGAUGUACUCGCGGCUUAUCUGCUUGUUGUUGUAGUAGUGGCUUACCAAGGCUUUGCCGAGUAGCCGGCCUGAGAGGGUGACCGGCCACAGUGGGACUGAGAUACGGCACAGACUACUACGGGAGGCAGCAGUGGGGAAUAUUGCACGAUGGACGGAAGCCUGAUGCAGCAACGCCGCGUGCGGGAUGGCGGCCUUCGGGUUGUAAACCACUUUCGCCUGUGCCGAAGCGUGUGUGACGGUAAUGGAUAAAGAAGCACCGGCUAACUACGUG